rnacentral:lncRNA from 1 species
GAGAGAGAGGGACCAUCUGGUGCCUGGUGGUUCUUCUUUCCACCACCUCUGAUGUUUGACCCCCAUUUUCAUUUGGUUAGACUCGUAAUCUGAGAUAAGAGACUAAAAAGCAGAUGUUACAUUGGGUCAUGAGAUGAAAACAGAGAAGUUUGCUAACUCAAGUUACAAAGGAUGAUUGGAAACAUAUGUCGCACUGACUUGGAAAUGGAUCCCAGUGUUAAUAAAGGGCCCCCGUGGUCCUACAACCUGUGAGUGAUAAAUGUGCUGCCUACCUGCUUUCAUGUUGCCUCUUUUUUUAAUGCAACAGUGAGCAUGUGGUGGAACGGGAAGAUUAUGUAUAGUUAUGUGUUUGAACGUGGCUUGCAGAGUUUUUUUUAGAGUGAUAGUGUGUGUGUAAGUCUCACCGCACUGCUGUCUGUUUCUUAUUUUUGUCCCAUGCAUUCCCAGCUGCUGAGGGUUCGAGUGAGGAGGUGGAGGAUGAGGAAGUCUUUGAAGAGAUCCGUAAGCUCAGGCUGGAGAGAGGUCGCCUGCUGCAGAAAAUCAAGGUUCUGGAGCAGCAGCAGAGCAGCGCCACCACUGCCCUGGAGGAGGUAUUGCACUCCUUUAACUAUAAAUAAACUUAAUGGCAAUUUCCACUGAAAGGGAACAAAAUGGGGUUUGAAAGUAGUACUUUUGAUUGUGCCGAUUCUCAAAUUUAGGAGUCCAAAAAAAGAUCUGAGUUGUGUUUAGAUGAAUAUGUAAAUAUGUGCUGCACUCGUUCCUCUCAAUAACAGAAAAAAACACACAACAAUGAGCAUUUUGGUUGAAAUAUGUCACCAGUUUGUUCUUCCUUUGAAGUAUAUCAGGGCCUUAAAGGGACAGCUCACCCAAAAAUAAAAUUGUGUCAUCAUUUACUCACCCUCAUGUUGUUCCAAACCUACAGUAUAUAAGUUUAUUUCUUCUGCUGUAGACAAAAAGAAGAUAUUUUAAUAUUUUUUUCAUAUUAUGGAAGUCAGUGGCUACCAGCAACUGUUUGGUUACCAACAUUAUUAAAAAUAUCUUCUUUUGUGUUCAACAAAAGAAAGAAACUCAUACAGGUUUGGAACAAGUGGAGGUUGAGUAAAUGAUGGAAUUUUCAUUCUGGAAGUGAAAAUGAGCUAAUACACUCCAUUUAUAUUAGUACAAUUUUUUACUACAAUUUACAAAAUUUUACCAAAGUUAACUACAUAGUUUUCUGUUGUUAGUGUAACAUUGUUAAAACUAUGAUUAGGCAUGCUUUGCAUGAGAUUGGGUGGGAAGGGAAAAAGUAGAAAAAAUAAAAGUAAUCAUGAAAUUAAAAUGGACAAUUCUU